AUUUGCCUUAUUAUGUCUGCUUUAUUCUGUUUUCAUUUUGCCCUCUUUAUUCGGAGGUAGGUUAUUAGAGAACAUCACAAAAUUAUCAUUACAUUAAAAGCAGAACCCUUAUUCAUACCAACGUAUUGGGGGAUCAGCUGCACACACUUUUAAUUCAAGGAGGGGAAUAUGAAACCAUGGGAUCUUCCAGUUUCACAUGAUGGAAGGCCUAUAUGAUGAAAGUUGUACCACUUAAUUUACUUUGAAUACCUCAAACGGAUUGAUAUAUUACAUAUUUAUUAGUAAUAUAUCGGUGUGGUUCGGUGUUCAAGGCUGUUUGUUUUGGUUAGCAGGAAGCCGAUAAGAUACUUGAACGGCCUUCAUUAAUCAGGGCAAAGGCCGCCGUCCAUUGAUGAACUACAUUACCCAGAGGUCUUUGCACGAACCCAGACCGGCUAGUUGGCGACGUGGCCUAGCGACGUAACGAACGCGACCGGGUUGAUUCAAAAGGCGCUGACGUCUCCUGACCGGCUUGUGUUUCGAAUCCAUUAACGCUCCAAGAUGUCUGGGAAGAUUAAGAACCGAAGUGGGGCUAACGCCGACCUGACCUCCGGCGGCGUGUCGUGCGAUGAGCGCAUCCUCCGGGACUGCCAUCAGCUGUACGCGGACCCGGAGAGCGGCCUCAUCACCGUGGCCCAGUCCGUUGGCGUGACCCUGCUGCCUCCCAGGAAGAAGAUCACCGUCAUGUUGAUGGGAAACCACUCUGCUGGGAAGAGCUCGUUCAUCAACUGGUACGUCGAGGAGCACAUCCAGCGGACGGGCGUGGCCAUCGAGACUCAAGGCUUCAGCUUCGUCACCAGCGGCCGCAAGAGGGAGUCCCUCACAGGGAACGCCACCCUGCAUCUCUAUCCACACUUCAAACCUCUGCAAGAGUUCAAAGGUGUGUCGGAGUACCUGGGCACGGAGGUGUGCACGUCCCGGCAGAAGCGCUUCAGCCUGGUGACCUUCGUGGACUCCCCAGGACUGGUGGACGGGGACAUGAAGUACCCCUUCGACGUGGACGAGGCCAUCAUGUGGCUGGGCGAGCUGUGCGACCUGAUCCUGGUCUUCUUCGACCCCAUGGGCCAGGCGCUGUGCAAGAGAACCCUGAACAUCGUGGAGCGCCUCAACGAGAAGCACGGGACCGGCUGCACUUCUACCUGAGCAAGGCUGACGAGGCCGGGAGCGAGUCGGACCGCCAGAGGGUGAUGAUGCAGAUCGUCCAGGAGCUUGUAAGCGACCGGGACUCAACAAGUGUGGCUUCGACAUGCCCACCAUCUACAUCCCCAACCCCAACAAGCCCAGCCGCUGUGUGAACCAGAUCGAGGAGGUGUGUCGCACGGUGGAGAAGACCAUCAACCAGACGGUGCAGAACACGCUCAACUCCCUGGAGAAGGACCUGCGAGGUCAUCACCGAGGCCAUCGCCGACACGCUCGCCGUGGACAGACCGGCGCCCCAGAAACCGUUCGGAGCGCGCUGUAAGGGCUGCUUCAUGGCCCUGCUGGGCUUCGUGGUGCCGCUGGCGCUGCUGGCGCUGCUGGUGCUGGGGACCCUCUCCAGAGAGCUGCUGGAGAUGGCCCUGGGCCCCCAGGGGACUGAGGCCCUGUCCCUCUACCUGGCCCCUGUGGUGCGCGGGUUCGAGUCCCUCUCCAGUAGAGCACCAGCUGUACGCCUGCGGAGGCCUCGUCUUCCUCUCCUUCCUCCUCCUCAUCCUCGCCCGCUUCUCCUUCAGGACCCGGACCACUCUGUCCGGCCGGCAGAAGAGACAGCUGCAGGAGAAGCUGGAGUACGUGCAGGACGUGGUCAAGAGCAAAAAGAAAAAGUUGUACAGCGAAUACCUGCGCCAGAGUGUCGGAGAUCAGGACAUGGACAUGUAGAGAGGACCGACGCUGCAGGAAACCAUUCCCCCGGGACGGUGGUUCGGUGGGAUCACGGUGGUCCCACUGGUUUAUAGAACCCUGUAGGGUCACGGUGGUCCCACUGGUUUAUAGAACCCUGUGGGGUCACGGUGGUUCCACUGGUUUAUAGAACCCUGUGGGGUCACGGUGGUUCCACUGGUUUAUAGAACCCUGUAGGGUCACGGUGGUUCCACCGGGCUUAGAGAACCCCUUAACGCGCUGACUGCCAUCUUUAGAAUAACUCUUGGUCAGAACGUGGAUGUAAUUUGUGAGUGACCCGGUAACACUAGGCCUUUGGUAACAGUGCUGUCCAUACUGUAAUGUUCAUCUGCUCCUUUAUGCAAUCGCUGUACAACUCAAACCAUGCAGUACUUCAGGAUUAAGGUUAUUCUGCGUUUCCUGUUUUAGCACUUCUUUUUUUUUCACAAGGAUAGCCUUUCUAACUUAACUAUUUUUGUUAAUCAUUUUUAAAAACGGCAUUUAUACUAUUUUCCAGUGUCAGGAUUACAGGAUCACAGAACCACUUAAAUAUCUAUUUAAAUAACGUAGCCUAUUUAUACGAUUACAGAUGUUGUAUUUUGGUGAGAUGGCAUUUAGCACUGGUAUCCUUGAGUCACAUUUUCACAAUGUGCAGUUUUUUUUUUUAAGAUCUCCAGCAUUUUAUAUUGUAUGUUUCACACAAGUGGACCGUUUGUCAAAGAAAUAAAGUUUGUUAUAAGUGGACCAGCAUUCAAACGCAUGCAGAGGGUAAUUAUGUACACUGAUAUCAUUGUAGCAUGUUUUUUUUCUGUUUUGGCUGACAAAUAAUGUAAAAACUUUUCUAUUUCUUUUCCUACAUUGUCCCCGCCAUUUGUUAAAUUGAUUUGAAUAAAGGCACAACAUUUAAUAAAGA